UGAAACCUGAUAUGACUUAGUGGCGGACGGGUGAGUAACACGUGAGCAACCUGCCUACAAGAGGGGGACAACAGUUGGAAACGACUGCUAAUACCGCAUGAAGCAUAGGGGUCGCAUGAUUCUUAUGCCAAAGAUUUAUCGCUUCAAGAUGGCCUCGCGUCUGAUUAGCUGGUUGGCGGGGUAACGGCCCACCAAGGCGACGAUCAGUAGCCGGACUGAGAGGUUGAACGGCCACAUUGGGACUGAGAUACGGCCCAGACUCC
rnacentral:rRNA from 1 species